CCCGAAUUGCAUAAUAAGCAAUACACUUGCAAAGGUUUGCUUACUAACAUAUCAAUCCCGUUGAUAUAAUGAUUGACAUAUAUAUGAAUUAGUUUUAACAUAUGCAAGUCUCAUACGCCAACUUGACCACUAAUUUGAGCCAGUUUGACCAACAAAAAACAAAAUCUCUAAUCGAUAACACCUAUGGAAAUAAGAUUACAGAAGAAACAAAUAAAAAAACACACCAUGAUUACGUGGAAACCUCUUCUAAGAAAAACAACGGGAGGCGAGAAUCAAUCAACCCAAGACACUAUGAAGCGAAGAAUACAAGAGGUGAGAAGGUUGGAAAGGCUACAAAUUCUUCGUAAGUUUCACUCUCUAAUGGAUGAAUUUGGUAGUUGAAGUCUCAUUUCUCAUCUCGUCACCUAGCUCUCUCUUACAACAAACAAGAAACACAUGCAUGGGUUUGAUUUUAGGUUAGAAUUGGUGAUUUUACAGAAAGACCCUAAAGUUAAAGGGUAUUGCAAUUUGCAAACGACUCCAGUUUGACUAAUAAACACUUUUAAUUGCACCAUGUAUUGGCCACUGAAUAUCGCACAACCGGUGAAACUAAGAGCCGCAUGUCAUCACAUACUACUGCCAUGCUUCUUUUUAAUUAAUCUAUACUAUGCAGCUUGUUACUGCUAGCUGUUGUACAUAUGGACGGAUGCAGUGAAUAUAGAUGGCAUAAUGUACGGCUUAAACGUAAAGAAUCAACCCCAAAAGAAGCUAGCUAGCUUAGCUUAGGGUAAUUAAUUAACAUAGGUCUUGUUUAGUUCAACCAAAAAUAAAAAACUUUUCAAGAUUCUCCAUCACAUCGAAUCUUACAGCACAUGUAUGAAGCACUAAAUAUAAACGAAAAUAAAAACUAAUUACACACUGUAAAUCACGAGAUAAAUCUUUUAAGCCUAGUUACUCUAUGAUUGGACAAUGUCUGUCAAAUAAAAACGAAAGUGCUACAGUUCCGAAAACCGAAAAGUUUUCAGAAGUAAACAAGGCCAUAGUCAUGUAGCAUGCAGGUAUCUAUGUCUCAGCGCGGCUGAAUAUUCCUAGGCACCGCCGACCGUCACAUAUUUAUACUAUACUUCAAAAAAAAAAGUUCAAACUAUGGUUGAGACCAU
rnacentral:lncRNA from 1 species